CCUUGGUAGGUGCAGUAUGGAGGCUGUAAAUUGGCAUGGGAAUUUAAAGCAGGCUCUUGUUGGUGCACACCCCAAAUUAGAUAUCCAUGGGGAUGGUAGUUUUUUCAUCUUUAGUUGUUUUUGAUGCAGCUUCUGUGAAAUGUUUUUCUGUUCAUUCUGCAGUUGGGGGGAAAAAAAAGUUGCAGCUGUUUUGUUGACAUUCUGAAUGCUUUCUUCAUGCCCUGAAGGAGUUAUUCACCUGCACCAACUGCUUGGCUCCCAGAACUGCUCCAGCCUCCAUCAUUUCUAAGCCUGGAUCUUCAGCCUUUCCUUCAAGAUGGUUGAGAGACUAAAUGGGAGCUAAAAUGAAGGCACUCCACUCAAUUUCACCCAGAGGAAGAGGACCCUUUUUCAAGUUCAUAUUGAAGGUAUUUUAUGACCUUGCAGCAGUGCUGACCCAUUACCUUUUUUUUUUAACUGAGGUAAAAUAUAUACAACAUAAAAAUUGCCAUUUUAAUCAUGUAAAAACAUUUUUCUAAGUUUAU